GAUGAACGCUAGCGGCAGGCUUAACACAUGCAAGUCGAGGGGCAUCGAGAGUAGCAAUACUUGUCGGCGACCGGCGCAAGGGUGCGUAACACGUGAGCAACAUACCCGUUUCAGGAGGAUAACCGGAGGAAACUCUGCCUAAUACUCCAUGACAUCAUCAAACGGCAUCGUUUGAUGAUUAAAGAUUUAUCGGAAACGGCUUGGCUCGCGGGACAUUAGCUCGUUGGUGAGGUAACGGCUCACCAAGGCCACGAUGUCUAGGGGUUCUGAGAGGAAGGUCCCCCACACUGGAACUGAGACACGGUCCAGACUCCUACGGGAGGCAGCAGUGAGGAAUAUUGGACAAUGGUCGGAAGACUGAUCCAGCCAAUGCCGCGUGAAAGGUUACUGUCCUAAUGGAUAUUAAAACUUCUUUUGUAUGAGAGCAAAUAAAGGUGCACGCGUGCACCGAUGAGAGUAAUCAAUACGAAUAAGCAUCGGCUAA
rnacentral:rRNA from 1 species